UCGUCCUCUGACACUACACAUAGAGGAUAAUGCCUGCCCAGUGAACUCUUAAACGGCCGCGUUAGCGUGAGCGUGCUAAGGUAGCGUAAUAAAUAGCCUCUUAAUUGGAGGCCAGUGAAAGGCAACACUAAGAACACCUGUACCUUCUGUGCCAACAGAACUUUUCGUCUGAGUGAAAAGCCUCAGAUAGUUAAAGGAAGACGAAAAGACCCCGCGGAGCUUUACUUUUUCUUCGCACAAAUAUUAAUAAACAAAACUGCAGCAAGUUUGAUUGGGGCAAUCUCGGAACCAACAAGCUUCCGACACCAUAAGAAACCAAUUAAAAACUUAUUAUGGACAAGACAGAAGCUACCCCGGGGAUAACAGCGUCAUUCAACUUGAGAGUACACAUCGAAAGUUGGGUUUGCGACCUCGAUGUUGGCUUAAGGAUUUCCGCAUAAGUGCAGCCGCUAUGCAGGACAGUCUGUUCGACUAUUAUACCCUUA
rnacentral:rRNA from 1 species